AGCAGCCGCGGUAAUUCCAGCUCCAAUAGCGUAUAUUAAAGUUGCUGCAGUUAAAAAGCUCGUAGUUGAAUUUCGGGACCGAUAUAUCGGUCGUGCCUCGGUACGUACUGGUAUUUUCGGUUUCUCCCUUCUGACGAACCUUGAUGUCAUUAAUUUGGUGUCUUGGGGAAUCAGGACUGUUACUUUGAAAAAAUUAGAGUGUUUAAAGCAGGCUCACGCCUGAAUACAUUAGCAUGGAAUAAUGAAAUAGGACGUUUGAUUCUAUUUUGUUGGUUUCUAGGAUCGACGUAAUGAUUAAUAGGGAUAGUUGGGGGCAUUAGUAUUCAAUUGUCAGAGGUGAAAUUCUUGGAUUUAUUGAAGACUAACUACUGCGAAAGCAUUUGCCAAGGAUGUUUUCAUUAAUCAAGAACGAAAGUUAGGGGAUCGAAGACGAUCAGAUACCGUCGUAGU
rnacentral:rRNA from 1 species